GAAAUGCGAUACGUAGUGUGAAUUGCAGAAUUCCGUGAACCAUCGAAUCUUUGAACGCACAUUGCGCUUGAGGCUUCGGCCAAGAGCAUGUCUGCCUCAGCGUCGGGUUAAUAUCGUCCCCUUUUAUCCUCUGGAUAUCAGCUGGGCGGAUCUGGCCAUUCCAGCUAUGCAGCCAGCCUGCGUUAACGCGCAAGCACGGCAGUACGCACCUGGAUUGGCUGAAGAUUAGAGGCAAACCAAGGACCCGUCAAGGGCCGCAACUGGGUGGGCUGUCAAAAGCUAUAUUCUUAGUUGUUGGUCUGGGACUUUGCGUUAAGCCCUCAAACAGGAACCUAUUAACCUAUUUUCUCGACCUGAGCUCAGGCAAGAACACCCGCUGAACUUAA
rnacentral:misc_RNA from 1 species